GAAAUACUGGAACAGAGAGAGAGGGAGGUGAGGUCAGACAGUAUCGUGUAGUAGAAUACUGGAACAGAGAGAGAGGGAGGUGAGGUCAGACAGUAUUGUGUAGUAGAAUACUGG